AUGGGACAUGGUGACACCAGCCUGCAAGUGAGCCUCCCAGCUGACAUGUGGAUGGGUGCGAAGGAGGACUGGAGCCUUGGAGAGCCAAUGCUCUCAUGUUUACUGCCCCGGCUUUAUCCGAGAUUGACCAGAUGUCCAGCCACAGGAAGUCAGCAAGUGCUUUCUUUAGUCUUCUUUCCAAAGGGUCGGCAGGGAUGUUUGAGGACCUCCUGGUGGGUGUGGGAGGCACCAACAAGCCUAAGGCCUCAGAUAUUUUGAUACAGGCUUGAGGCUCCCCACUCCCCACAAUCCCACACUGCUGAGAAUCACUCUGAAUAGCGAUGUUCCUCACAGGGACGCGAUGUGCUUGUGAACGACUCAGGGGCAGAAGAAAGGGAGAGGAAACAUUGUCUGCCGGCUUUCAUUCAUUCACACAUUCAUUUGUCUCUGAAACACCUAUUGAGCCCCUGCUAGGUGUCUGGCUCUCUUGGGCACUGGAAUAUUGACAGGAAGAGCAGGCUAAGAGGAUGCACCUGUCGGCAUCCUUGGGAAGCUUGCCAUCAAUGGGAGCCUGUGAGAAUCUGAUCAAAGGGCAAAGGGGGCAACAACCCCUCUGUUAACUUUGGAAGCUGUCGCUGUCUCUCUGGGGACCCAACUCCACAUAAGGUGCUUGAAGUCAGGAGUGUUCAUGGUGCCUCCACCAGAGAUGCUUCACUCAUUUGACCAGAGAUAGGUGCUCAGAAACCUGGGCUGUGAGUUUAAUUUUCAGAGAUUAACAUGUGACUGAUUAGAAAAACAUCCAGGGGCAGGCAUCUUGCAGAUUAUGUCCUUGCUUCUGGGCUCAGGUAACCCUGGUGGCUCAGCUGAUAGAGCAUUUCCCGCAAUGCGGCAGACCCAGCUUCAGUCCCUGGGUGGGGAAGAUUCCCUGGAGAAGGGAAUAGCAAUCCACUCCAGUAUUCUUGCCUGGAGAGUUCCAUGGACAGAGGAGCCNNNUGGGCUACAGUCCAUGGGGUUGCAAAGAGUCAGACAUGACUGAAUGACUAUCACUUUCGCUUUUGAACCCUACACACACUGAGAAAAUAAACAACUCAAGUGCAAGUUAUAGAGGUGAACUGAAGGUUAGAGUGAAGUAUAUCCAGGAAAGUUGGCAGAUGCAAAGAGGCUUCCCCAAAUGGUGUUGGUAUUGAUACCCCUGCUCAGAGUCUAGGGUCUGCCUCCAGCCUCAUGUGCUCAAAGCAUGGAUCAAGAGCAGAUCCGAUGCUUAGAAAAGAUUUGCUCUAGCCAAAUCUAUAGGCUUGUGAAUCAACUCAGAAUGCCAUUUCCUUGAUUUAUCCUGAAAAACACAACUGUCGUCCAAGUAAAACAUGUGGUAAUGGCCUGUAUCUGUCUCUUUCUAUAGAACAAUCUUUAAGGCAGUUGUCAACAGUAGAUCAUUUGGUGAGUUUGAAAUCAGAACAAAGGGACCUGGUUAGAUGGCUUUGCUAUUUAAUAACAUUAAAUUGUGAGAACCUGGUCAACCACAGUUAUAUGUAAAAUACAUGGUCACUGGCUCUGAUGGACUUGAAAUGGGCAGGGCAUCACUCCUGAACACACCUUGGGUAGGGGUUGCCAACCCCAUUUCUGAUGGCCUAUUCUUGCUUCAUCUAUGUGAUGGCUUUCAGUCCUGUCUUAUAGGUUUGAGAGUCAUUUUAUUUCUUUCAAGAGACUUUGUGUCUCUCCACUAUGGUUCUUAGAACUUAUGGUUUAACUUAUAAUGACAACCUUAUAUCCUUUUGAACAUUUUGUCCACAGUUCAAUUCAGUCGUGUCCAACUCUUUGUGACCCUAUGGAUUGUAGCACACCAGGCUUCCCUGUCCAUCACCAAUUCCUGGAGCUUGCUCA
rnacentral:lncRNA from 1 species